UGAAUACGAGACGCUAAGGCGUCGAAGUAGUGUAUGUCAUACUUCCAAGAAAAGCUUGCACUGUCAUAGAUAAAAAACGCCUGUACCAUAACCGACACAGGUGGGUAGGUAGAGUAUACUAAGGGGCGCGAGAUAACUCUCUCUAAGGAACUCGGCAAAAUAACUCCGUAACUUCGGGAGAAGGAGUGCCUUAUUCGUAAGGUUGCAAUAACAAGAUCCAAGCAACUGUUUAUCAAAAACACAGGUCUCCGCUAAGUCGUAAGACGAUGUAUGGGGGCUGACGCCUGCCCAGUGCCAGAAGGUUAAAGAAGUUGGUUAGCAAUUGCGAAGCUGAUAACUGAAGCCCUGGUGAACGGCGGCCGUAACUAUAACGGUCCUAAGGUAGCGAAAUUCCUUGUCGGGUAAGUUCCGACCCGCACGAAAGGCGUAAUGAUUUGGAUACUGUCUCGGAGAGGGGCUCGGUGAAAUAGACUUGUCUGUGAAGAUGCGGACUACCUGCACCAGGACAGAAAGACCCUAUGAAGCUUUACUGUAACUUGAAAUUGAAAUUGGACUUUAUUCGCGCAGUAUAGGUGGGAGGCGUUGAUUAUAAUCUUGUGGGAUUAUUUGAGCCAUCAGUGAGAUACCACCCUUGUAAUGUUAGAUUUCUAACUUUGAAUCAUAUCUGGUCAAAGAACAGUUUCAGGCGGGCAGUUUGACUGGGGCGGUCGCCUCCUAAACGGUAACGGAGGCGUACAAAGGUUUCCUCUGAACGGUUAGAAAUCGUAUCUAGAGUGUAAAGGCAUAAGGAAGCUUGACUGUGAGACCUACAAGUCGAGCAGGGACGAAAGUCGGUCUUAGUGAUCUGACGGUACUGAGUGGAAAGGCCGUCACUCAACGGAUAAAAGUUACUCUAGGAUAACAGGCUGAUCUCCCCCAAGAGUUCACAUCGACGGGGAGGUUUGGCACCUCGAUGUCGGCUCAUCGCAUCCUGGGGCGGUAGUACGUCCCAAGGGUUGGGCUGUUCGCCCAUGAAAGCGGUACGCGAGCUGGGUUCAGAACGUCGUGAGACAGUUCGGUCCAUAUCCGGUGUAGGCGUUAGAAUAUUGAGAGGAGCCUUCUUUAGUACGAGAGGACCGAGAAGGACAUACCUCUGGUGUACCAGUUAUCGUGCCAACGGUAAACGCUGGGUAGCUAUGUAUGGAGUGGAUAACCGCUGAAAGCAUCUAAGUGGGAAGCCCACCUCAAGAUAAGUAUUCUCA
rnacentral:rRNA from 1 species